GUGAAUCAUCGAAUUUUUGAACGCAAAUUGCACUCUCUUCGGAGAGUAUGCCUGUUUGAGGGUCAGCCUAAAAAAAAUCGUCGUAGUCGCUGUUUCGCGGUCACAUUUGUCGGAAAUGGGGUUAUCUUAAAAGUUUGGGUUUUUUAAGAGGCUUAAAAUUUUCUUUACGAUACAAGGAAUGUUUCUAAGAUUUUAAUUAUUACAAACGUUUAAGUUAUUGAUCUUUAUUAGCUGUGGCUGUUGAAUGGGAUCAUGUCUGUCAAC
rnacentral:misc_RNA from 1 species